CUUGCUAAGUUUGAUGGCGACCGGCGCACGGGUGAGUAACACGUAUCCAACCUGCCGAUGACUCGGGGAGUAGCCUUUCGAAAGAAAGAUUAAUACCCGAUGGCAUAGUUCUUCCGCAUGGUAGAACUAUUAAAGAAUUUCGGUCAUCGAUGGGGAUGCGUUCCAUUAGGCAGUUGGUGGGGUAACGGCCCACCAAACCUUCGAUGGAUAGGGGUUCUGAGAGGAAGGUCCCCCACCAUUGGAACUGAGACACGGUCCAAACUCCUACGGGAGGCAGCAG
rnacentral:rRNA from 1 species